CCGGCGCACGGGUGGGUAACACGUAUCCAACCUGCCGUCUACUCUUGGACAGCCUUCUGAAAGGAAGAUUAAUACAAGAUGGCAUCAUGAGUCCGCAUGUUCACAUGAUUAAAGGUAUUCCGGUAGACGAUGGGGAUGCGUUCCAUUAGAUAGUAGGCGGGGUAACGGCCCACCUAGUCUUCGAUGGAUAGGGGUUCUGAGAGGAAGGUCCCCCACAUUGGAACUGAGACACGGUCCAA
rnacentral:rRNA from 1 species